CCGCAAAAAAAUAGAACAUGUCCUAUUCUUGAGAAAAAUGUAAUAGGAAUAGCUUACUCCUAUGCGAAUAGGGACCAGGUGCUCUAGGCCAGGAAAACUGUAUCACCCAUACAGAAAAGUAUUAAAA